UACGGGGGGGGCAAGCGUUGUUCGGAAUUACUGGGCGUAAAGGGCUCGUAGGUGGCCAACUAAGUCAGACGUGAAAUCCCUCGGCUUAACCGGGGAACUGCGUCUGAUACUGGAGGGCUUGAAUUCGGGAGAGGGAUGCAGAAUUCCAGGUGUAGCGGUGAAAUGCGUAGAUAUCUGGAGGAAUACCGGUGGCGAAGGCGGCAUCCUGGACCGAGAUUGACGCUGAGGAGCGAAAGCUAGGGGAGCAAACGGG
rnacentral:rRNA from 1 species